rnacentral:tRNA from 1 species
GAAAGCAAAUUGUAUAAAUAAAAGCUGCUAACUUCUUAUUUUAGCGGUUCAAUUCCGUUAU